UCUUACUAGCAUUGCUUUUUUCUUCGUAUGAGUUCUUAAUGACUGCUCUUCUAGUAGAAAAGAGCACCAUCAAGAUGGACAGAAUCACCACUUUGAUUCUCCAGAGCAAGGUUCUCAAGCAAAAGAACCAAGCUUCAAGCUCAAAUGGCAGCAGCUCAACUUUGAUAGUUUUUGGAGGAGCAGGUGGCAAUAGACAGAGUGGCAGA
rnacentral:lncRNA from 1 species